rnacentral:rRNA from 1 species
GACGAACGCUGGCGGCGUGCUUAACACAUGCAAGUCGAACGGAAAGGCCCUGCUUUUGUGGGGUGCUCGAGUGGCGAACGGGUGAGUAACACGUGAGUAACCUGCCCUUGACUUUGGGAUAACUUCAGGAAACUGGGGCUAAUACCGGAUAGGAGCUCCUGCUGCAUGGUGGGGGUUGGAAAGUUUCGGCGGUUGGGGAUGGACUCGCGGCUUAUCAGCUUGUUGGUGGGGUAGUGGCUUACCAAGGCUUUGACGGGUAGCCGGCCUGAGAGGGUGACCGGCCACAUUGGGACUGGGAUACGGCCCAGAUUCCUACGGGAGGCAGCAGUGGGGAAUAUUGAACAAUGGGCGGAAGCCUGAGGCAGAAACGCCGCGUGCGGGAUGACGGCCUUCGGGUUGUAAACCGCUUUCGCCUGUGACGAAGCGUGAGUGACGGUAAUGGGUAAAGAAGCACCGGCUAACUACGU